rnacentral:rRNA from 1 species
GACGAACGCUGGCGGCGUGCUUAACACAUGCAAGUCGAACGGAAAGGCACUGCUUUUGUGGGGUGCUCGAGUGGCGAACGGGUGAGUAACACGUGAGUAACCUGCCCUUGACUUUGGGAUAACUUCAGGAAACUGGGGCUAAUACCGGAUAGGAGCUCCUGCUGCAUGGUGGGGGUUGGAAAGUUUCGGCGGUUGGGGAUGGACUCGCGGCUUAUCAGCUUGUUGGUGGGGUAGUGGCUUACCAAGGCUUUGACGGGUAGCCGGCCUGAGAGGGUGACCGGCCACAUUGGGACUGAGAUACGGCCCAGACUCCUACGGGAGGCAGCAGUGGGGAAUAUUGCACAAUGGGCGGAAGCCUGAUGCAGCAACGCCGCGUGCGGGAUGACGGCCUUCGGGUUGUAAACCGCUUUCGCCUGUGACGAAGCGUGAGUGACGGUAAUGGGUAAAGAGGCACCGGCUAACUACGU